rnacentral:rRNA from 1 species
AUUGAACGCUGGCGGCAUGCUUUACACAUGCAAGUCGAACGGCAGCGCGGGCUUCGGCCUGGCGGCGAGUGGCGAACGGGUGAGUAAUACAUCGGAACGUGCCCAGUAGUGGGGGAUAGCUCGGCGAAAGCCGGAUUAAUACCGCAUACGACCUGAGGGUGAAAGCGGGGGAUCUUCGGACCUCGCGCUAUUGGAGCGGCCGAUGGCAGAUUAGCUAGUUGGUGGGGUAAAGGCCUACCAAGGCGACGAUCUGUAGCUGGUCUGAGAGGACGACCAGCCACCGUGGGGUUGACGCCCCGCCCCGGCUUCCAGGGGGGGCAGGCGUGGGGAAUUGUGGAACAAGGGGGGAAGCCUGAACCAGGAAGGGCGGGUGUUGGAAGAAAGCCCUCGGGUUGGAAAACCCUUUUGGGGGGAAGGAAAAGGACUGGUCCAAAAACACGGUUCGGAGACGGAACCCGCAAAAAAAGCCCCGGCUAACUACG